rnacentral:rRNA from 1 species
UACGUAGGGUGCGAGCGUUAAUCGGAAUUACUGGGCGUAAAGGGUGCGUAGGCGGAUAUAUAAGUUAGAUGUGAAAUUCCCGAGCUUAACUUGGGAACUGCAUUUAAGACUGUAUGUCUAGAGUUUGUCAGAGGGGGGUAGAAUUCCAAGUGUAGCAGUGAAAUGCGUAGAGAUUUGGAGGAAUACCGAUGGCGUAGGCAGCCCCCUGGGAUAGAACUGACGCUGAGGCACGAAAGCGUGGGUAGCAAAC